GACCAUAUAGCUCAGUGGUUCUCUAAGAGCGACUGGUAUAUGUCCAGGAGGUCCUGGGUUCAAUCCCUAGUGUGGUCA